AGAAAACAGAAAGCAGCAGCAACAAGAAAAUGGGAAGUAUUUUCAACUCCAUGGUCGUUUUCAGCUACUCUUCUAGAGUAUAUCUCCCAGCUUCCCUUUCAGACUGGAAGGCAGACAUCAGAGACAUCAGCCAUCACAGGAGAACAGCAGCGUGGGGAGUGUUAUUCUCUGUGGGACUCACAAUGUGGAAACGGGUGAGGAAGUGGCAGUGCUACCUGAGGAAUUCUUCAGAUGACCGGUGACCUACAGGCUAAUGGCUCCUACCCAAGCCCAAGAACAGCAGCCAAAGACCACGAUACUAGCAAAA